rnacentral:rRNA from 1 species
UACGGAGGAUGCAAGCGUUAUCCGGAUUUAUUGGGUUUAAAGGGUGCGCAGGUUGUUUGAUAAGUCAGUGGUGAAAGUCUGUCGCUUAACGGUAGGAUUGCCAUUGAUACUGUUGGACUUGAAUAUGGAUGAGGUAGGCGGAAUGUGUGGUGUAGCGGUGAAAUGCAUAGAUAUUACACAGAACACCGAUUGCGAAGGCAGCUUACUAAUCCAUCAUUGACGCUGAGGCACGAAAGCGUGGGGAUCAAACA